UUUACAACAGUGGAUGAUACGUCAGACUCUGAUUCUGAGAUUGUCAUCACAUCAAGGAGCACAGGUUUUUGAACCACAAAACCAAAGUACUCCCCAACACAAACCUGAUGAUGAAAGAUAGUAAGAUCUGAUACUGAGGAUCUGGAUCCACCUGAAACAAAUCCAGACAAGACUUCUUGCUACAGGG